rnacentral:lncRNA from 1 species
UCACCUGAUUCAAAACCAGGUGAAUCCACAGAGGGAUAGGAGUCUGGGUGAGCUCACAAUCUACUGUACACAGGCAAGGGGAUGGGCUCUUCAGCUUUGAUCAGGGCAGCAGCCUGGAGGACUGAGGGGACCCAGAACCUUCCCAUCAAGCUAUAGCAAAGGACAGCCUAUGUUCUAUGGGACCUGAAACACAUCCUGAGAGUUUGAUGCCUGCUUCAUAUUUGUGGUUACACAGUUGAAAUUUCAUCCUAUAGUUUAUCUAUUGUUUAUAUAUAUAUAAUCAGAUCUAAUAUGAAGUGUUUGAUGUUGUACCUGCUAACAUUUCUGAUGUUCUGCAGUUUUUUACUGCUUGUAAUUCCAUCUGCCUGAGGAAGAAUUCCCCUUAAUCCUACUAUCUGGUUCACUCAGCAUGAAGAAUCUAGUUUAUUACUGCAUAACUUAAAGUACUAUUAAGUGGUAAGUAAUUUCACCUCUUGAAAAACAGUGGGUUAGGCACACAUAAACAAUUGCACACACACACACACACACACACCCCUUGUAAACACAAAUCACACAAUCUAUUUUAUCCUUCCAGGCUCUGUGAUUUCAUCUUCAUUUCACCCAGGAAUUCAGGAACUUUUACCUAGGUUCAGCAGCAGACUCAUUACUUUUCUGGAAACCAGAGUAGCUGAACCAGUGCUGAAGGAGGACUAUCUACAGACGUAAUACGCUGGGGUGGGUACAUGGCCCAAACUCCUGGGAGAGCACUGCUUACUUCUAUCUUUGCUGAGUGAGUUCCACUUUUUGGUUAAGGGCACCACUGAGUCUUGGUUGGUAAAAAUUUCUCCAGUUGUUUGUCAGCUGUGCCACUAAAACUUUGCUCUUCUUUUUUAUAGUAGUGCAUAUUUCUACAGUUGAAAAGAUGUGGGGAUGAAUCAUGUUCAUAACUUUAUGUCCAUUACCUUGAAUUUCUUGACUAAUGCAAACAUGUAGCAAUCAAUUAAAAGGUUUUUGUCAUUGAAAUAGGAACUUUAGUCCCCUUUUCCUACUUGAUAAGCACCGAAU